rnacentral:rRNA from 1 species
GACGAACGCUGGCGGCGUGCCUAAUACAUGCAAGUCGAACGAACCGCGACUAGGUGCUUGCACUUGGUCAAGGUGAGUGGCGAACGGGUGAGUAACACGCGGGUAACCUACCUCAUAGUGGGGGAUAACAGUCGGAAACGACUGCUAAUACCGCAUAGGACAUAGGAUCACAUGAUCCAGUGAGGAAAGGUGGCGCAAGCUAUCGCUAAGAGAUGGACCCGCGGUGCAUUAGCUAGUUGGUAGGGUAAAGGCCUACCAAGGCGAUGAUGCAUACCCGACCUGAGAGGGUGAUCGGCCACAUUGGGACUGAGACACGGCCCAAACUCCUACGGGAGGCAGCAGUAGGGAAUCUUCCGCAAUGGACGCAAGUCUGACGGAGCAACGCCGCGUGAGUGAAGAAGGUCUUCGGAUCGUAAAGCUCUGUUGUUAGAGAAGAACAGCGCAUAGAGUAACUGUUAUGCGUGUGACGGUAUCUAACCAGAAAGCCACGGCUAACUACGUG